rnacentral:rRNA from 1 species
GACGAACGCUGGCGGCGUGCCUAAUACAUGCAAGUAGGACGCACAGCCUAUACCGUAGCUUGCUACACCAUAGGCUGUGAGUUGCGAACGGGUGAGUAACGCGUAGGUAACCUGCCUAUUAGAGGGGGAUAACUAUUGGAAACGAUAGCUAAUACCGCAUAACAGUAUGUAACACAUGUUAGAUGCUUGAAAGAUGCAAUUGCAUCGCUAGUAGAUGGACCUGCGUUGUAUUAGCUAGUAGGUAGGGUAAUGGCCUACCUAGGCAACGAUACAUAGCCGACCUGAGAGGGUGAUCGGCCACACUGGGACUGAGACACGGCCCAGACUCCUACGGGAGGCAGCAGUAGGGAAUCUUCGGCAAUGGGGGGAACCCUGACCGAGCAACGCCGCGUGAGUGAAGAAGGUUUUCGGAUCGUAAAGCUCUGUUGUUAAGGAAGAACGAGUGUGAGAAUGGAAAGUUCAUACUGUGACGGUACUUAACCAGAAAGGGACGGCUAACUACGUGCCAGCAGCCGCGGUAAUACGUAGGUCCCGAGCGUUGUCCGGAUUUAUUGGGCGUAAAGCGAGCGCAGGCGGUUAGAAAAGUCUGAAGUGAAAGGCAGUGGCUCAACCAUUGUAGGCUUUGGAAACUGUUUAACUUGAGUGCAGAAGGGGAGAGUGGAAUUCCAUGUGUAGCGGUGAAAUGCGUAGAUAUAUGGAGGAACACCGGUGGCGAAAGCGGCUCUCUGGUCUGUCACUGACGCUGAGGCUCGAAAGCGUGGGGGAGCGAACAGG